GCGGUCUCCGUUGUUGGGCUCAGGUCCUCGCAAUGCUGCCACGGUGCUCUUCACCGAGUGUCGGGGCAGGCCGACAAGAUUACUUUGAACAAAUUAGAGUGCUCAAAGCAGGCU
rnacentral:rRNA from 1 species